AGUUUGAUCCUGGCUCAGGAUGAACGCUAGCGGCAGGCCUAAUACAUGCAAGUCGAACGGGAUUGGAGAGCUUGCUUUCCAUGAGAGUGGCGUACGGGUGCGUAACGCGUAUGCAACCUACCUUCAUCAGGGGGAUAGCCCGAAGAAAUUCGGAUUAACACCGCAUAACAUUAUUGGAUGGCAUCAUUUAAUAAUCAAAUAUUUAUAGGAUGAAGAUGGGCAUGCGUGUCAUUAGCUAGUUGGUGAGGUAACGGCUCACCAAGGCGACGAUGACUAGGGGAUCUGAGAGGAUGACCCCCCACACUGGUACUGAGACACGGACCAGACUCCUACGGGAGGCAGCAGUAAGGAAUAUUGGUCAAUGGAGGCAACUCUGAACCAGCCAUGCCGCGUGCAGGAAGACUGCCUUAUGGGUUGUAAACUGCUUUUAUACGGGAAUAAACCUUGAUUCGUGAAUCGAGCUGAAUGUACCGUAAGAAUAAGGAUCGGCUAACUCCGUGCCAGCAGCCGCGGUAAUACGGAGGAUCCAAGCGUUAUCCGGAUUUAUUGGGUUUAAAGGGAGCGUAGGCGGCCUAUUAAGUCAGGGGUGAAAGGCGGUGGCUCAACCAUCGCAGUGCCUUUGAUACUGGUAGGCUUGAAUGUAGUUGAGGUAGGCGGAAUGUGACAAGUAGCGGUGAAAUGCAUAGAUAUGUCACAGAACACCGAUUGCGAAGGCAGCUUACUAAGCUAUGAUUGACGCUGAGGCUCGAAAGCGUGGGGAUCAAACAGGAUUAGAUACCCUGGUAGUCCACGCCCUAAACGAUGAUAACUCGAUGUUGGCGAUAUACAGUCAGCGUCCAAGCGAAAGCGUUAAGUUAUCCACCUGGGGAGUACGCCCGCAAGGGUGAAACUCAAAGGAAUUGACGGGGGCCCGCACAAGCGGAGGAGCAUGUGGUUUAAUUCGAUGAUACGCGAGGAACCUUACCCGGGCUUGAAAGUUACUGAAGAAUUUAGAGAUAGAUUCGUCCUUCGGGACAGGAAACUAGGUGCUGCAUGGCUGUCGUCAGCUCGUG
rnacentral:rRNA from 1 species